UACGAAGGGUGCAAACGUUGCUCGGAAUUAUUGGGCGUAAAGCGCACGUAGGCGGCUUAUCAAGUCGGAUGUGAAAUCCCUCGGCUCAACCGAGGAAGUGCAUCCGAAACUGGUGAGCUUGAGUACUUAAGAGGAUCGCGGAAUUCCCGGUGUAGAGGUGAAAUUCGUAGAUAUCGGGAGGAACACCAGUGGCGAAGGCGGCGAUCUGGGAAGAUACUGACGCUGAGGUGCGAAAGCGUGGGGAGCAAACAGG
rnacentral:rRNA from 1 species